CCGCGGGACAAGGACAAUGACUCAGCAGAUCUCAGGCCGGGCGCGGCCCUAAAGCUGGGGAACGCUCGAGAACUUUCGAGGGGAGACACUGCAGAGGAGCUGGUGUCCAGGUUAAAUUUGGAAAAGUGAGGCGGAAACCCCACACAGUUUUUUUUUUUAGCUGGAACCCAAGGCUGAGGGAACGACAUCCUUCUAGACUGUUCUUUCACCUUCGUGUACAUUCUGAGGGCCGGGUAUGGAAAGGUCCUACUUGGUUUCAACAGGGAGGCCUAGAAAUUUCUCUGGUUUCAAUGGGUACGAUUAUUGUAAUCAGGAUCCAUUCAAUAAUCGGACCCAUUUAAACCGAAGGUUUUAAAAGACAGGAAUAGAAUCCCAGCCCUAUUUCAGGGCAGGGUAGGGUAUCAAAUAUGAAAUGUAAUUCUACAGGGCAAUUCUAUUUUGAUAAAAGAAGUGGGGAGAAAAGAAUCACCAGCCAGGUUUUUAAAUUUUUACCACAACCUAUUUUGUGAUCCUUAUGUGUCAUUUCUUCAGUAUAUUUUUAAAAUGUUUUAACAAAUACGAACAUGGUGAGAUUUUUUAAAUGUGUCUUUUUAAAGUGUACAGUGAAAAGUCUCCCUCAUGCCUUCAAUUUCCCAGUCACUGUCCCUUCUGGAGUCUUCUAGAAAUAGUCCCUGUUUCUACAAAUGUAUUGGAGGUAGGGAGACUAUUUUGAUUUCUACCCUUGAAAGCUUCAAAAAGAGAGAAAAAGAGGCUAGCAACUGAAAAAUAUUUUGCCAUUAGGAAAAGACUACAUUCUUGUUUUAAGUUAUGAACAUUACAUUAUUUAAACGGCACACUUAAAAUAUGCAUCAAAGCAAAAUGAACCUGCUACAUAUUCUCUAUGGUAACCCAUGUUUGUGUGUAUUUAUGAAAAUCCAAGAUCUGUGCAAUGUUCAAAACAGACUUUGACAUCUCUAAUUUUUAACAAUUUUAAGAGAAUGAAUUCAUGUGUUAGUGGGAAAUUAAAAGGAAUAAUAAGUGUCAUCUUCCAGGAUUGGCAGGAAACCCCAGUGAGUUCCAAUACACAUUUCUGCAAAGUUUUUGUUUUUUGUUUUUCCCCUAGAUUUCGGGAAGGAGUUUUGAAAGGAAUAAAAAGCUGAGAUUCUUUGUGAGGUGACGAGGCCUGGCUUUCAACCACGCCCUGAUUUGCUUUUGGCUGUUGCUCUGCUGCAAGCCUUGUGAUUCAUGUUGUUUAAAGGCUGAGUCACCAGCUUUGUGACAUAGCUUUAUUCAGAGUCCAAAAGGGAGAAAUAACCUUUCCUGAAGCUCAUUAGAAACAAGCUGUCACCAAUGCGUCACCACCUAACUGGUCAGCUCCUCAUAACCUUGCAAAUACAAUUCUAGCGGAUACCAGAACCAAGGAACAAAUGAAAACUGACCCGUUCUUAAAUGUUCCUCUUCACAGACAAAAGAGAAGAGAAGAGAAGGAAAAUUGAGUUUCUUUCCAAUAAAUAAGGGCAUUGGCUUGAUUGUACCUUCA